rnacentral:rRNA from 1 species
UGAGAGUAGUACAUCGAUGGGUGACCCCUUGGGAAGUUCUCGUGUUGCACCCCUUGGUGCGAUCAUACCAGCACUAAUGCACCGGAUCCCGUCAGAACUCCAG